rnacentral:lncRNA from 1 species
UUCUUGGUAUUGUAGGUCUCUAACGAGCUGGCAUUAUGUUUAUUCUCUGAAAUUCAGUUCUUCCAAUCUUUUGUUGUAUUUUGGAGGGGAGAGAAUCCCGGGUCAGCUCACCCCGCCAUUUUGCUCCGCCACUAAUCUCCCAUUCUGUAACAGCAAUACCCGCACUCCAUCAGCAACCAUCAGUGACCCAAGGUAACGAUGCUGCAAGAUUAUCUAGAUCUGACCCCUAAACCACAUGGCUGCAACAUGCAAGCACCUGGGCCCUAUGGAGGCCUCCUACAGAUGCUCUCCAGGAGCAUCUAGAAGCCACAGGGACUGAGAUGGAGCACAGCAGAAGGGAGCUAUACCAACUAAAAUUUUGCCUUAAUGUCCUACUAUAAAGCACAAAGUCCAAGGUACUGUAAGAAAUUCAAGAAAUUUGAUUUUGGUGGAUUGACACUUCCUUUCCCAUUUCAUUGUCUAUUUCCUUAGGUAAGGAGCUCAUGCCCCACCUUCCGCCUCCCCACACGCAGUCCAUAGACCUGCCAGCAGGGAGUUUUUUCUGAGCUUUGCUUUGCAGCAUACCCCAAUGCUCCAGCAAGCUGGACCCUGGACACAACUGAGCCACAAGCAGAGCAUUGAAGAAAACACACCCCAGGCCAAGGAUUCAAUAAUUUGGUACAAACGCUUAGGCUGAUAAACUGGAGAAGGUGACUAUGGCAGCACAGAUCCAGGGCACCAGAAGGCAGACUGCACAGAGACCUGUGAGGGCUCUUUAUGGAUCCUGAUGGAACCAUAAGGGACACUGUAAUAGCUCUCAUUUUAUGUAUUAAGCCGUAUUUGCACAACAAUUCCAUUAUAAUACAAAGAUAAUCUUUAGAAGUAAUUUUAAAACAGCAAAUGUAUAAAUGCUGAGUCUCAAGUAAAAGAAAACAAUUUUCCUAAGCCAAAUGUCUUUCGUAAGAGAUUUCAA